GAUGAACGCUGACAGAAUGCUUAACACAUGCAAGUCGAUGGGGAAGUGGUGCUUGCACCAUGGCAACCAUGGCGGACGGGUGAGUAACGCGUAAGGGACUUACCUGCAGGACUGGGAUAACAGGGGGAAACUCCUGACAAGACCGGAUAAUGUCAUGGAGCUGCAUGGCUUUAUGAUGAAAGGAGACGCCUGCGGAGAGCCUUGCGUCCUAUUAACUAGUUGGUGAGGUAAUGGCUCACCAAGGCGAAGAUAGGUAGCCGGCCUGAGAGGGUGGACGGCCACAAGGGGACUGAGAUACGGCCCUUACUCCUACGGGAGGCAGCAGUGGGGAAUAUUGGACAAUGGGGGCAACCCUGAUCCAGCAAUUCUGUGUGCACGAAGAAGGUUUUCGGAUUGUAAAGUGCUUUCAGCAGGGAAGAAGUAAGUGACGGUACCUGCAGAAGAAGCGACGGCUAAAUACGUG
rnacentral:rRNA from 1 species